CGCCGAUUUAUACUUUAGUAAGCCUCCGCAAUUAUUAUGACAAAACUGAAACUUACGUACGAGGUCUAGAGUCACUCGGACAGACUACAGACACUUAUGGUUCACUACUGGUACCCGUUAUUCUGAACAAGUUGCCCGCAGAAAUACGCCAAAACCUAGCAAGACAACACGGACCGUCAAGUUGGAAUUUGAAAGAUUUGAGGAAGAGUAUACUUAACGAAAUUCAGAUCAUGGAGGCGGGAAAAAAUACAGGUACAUAUCUCGAGUCUUCAGAAAGUCACUUCACAACCGCAUCUACAUGUACAUUUCAUACAGGAAUAGAAUCACCGCGAAUACACACAGCACACAACGCGAAGAGCCAACCCCGGAAUAUUACGGAGAGACCAUGUGUUUUUUGUAAAGAGAUACAUGCGCCAACAAACUGUACCAAUAUUAGUGAUAGCACAGCCCGAAUGUCUAUCGUAAUUCGUGAUAAUUUAUGUUUUAACUGUUUAGGAAAUCAUCAUGCUAAUGAGUGUCAAUCGAAACGAACGUGUCGACACUGCAACCAGAGACAUCAUUCCAGCUUAUGUAGUGCGAGUAAUAAUGUUAACAGCGAAGGUUUAGCGUUCAUUACAAGCAAUACAAAUAAACAGAUUCAAUCUACACCCGUCAAUCUUAUAAAUGACACUGAAAACCAGGAAGAUACUAAAGUUUUGCAUUCAUCGACACAGAUGCGUACAAAUGUGCUACUGAAAACGGCGGUAGCUCCUGUAUGGUCAGGUAAUAUAUCUAUGGAUACGAAUGUUUUAUUUGAUGAGGGUGCACAAAGAUCUUUUUUAACAGAGCAUCUAGCGAAGAAAUUGAAUUUGAAAACUGAAGGAAUUGAAGUUGUACACCUAUCGGCAUUUGGAGAGGACAACACGAGCACGAGAGAACUACGCACAACCACCGUAUUUAUCGAAACCGAAAAUAGUCGUAAAAUUCCGAUUGAAGUCCUUAUUGUUCCUACCAUAGCAGUUCCAAUACAUAAUCAUAUGCGGUACGUUAACCGAAAUAUGGAUUAUCUGAAAGGAUUAAGACUCGCUCAUCCAGUUACCAAAGACGAUUAUUUUGAGAUAUCAUUACUUAUUGGUGCCGACCACUAUUGGGACUUUAUCGAAGACAAAGUAAUACGAGGAGAUGGACCGAUCGCGAUGAAGUCAAAGCUUGGAUACUUACUAUCAGGACCCUUACAGCCGGGUAGGGUACUUUCGUCUACGACAUCCAGCAUCUUAAACGUACUGGUUUCGAAUAAAUCAGAGGAAUUUGGCUUAGAAGAAAUUAUAAAGGAACAGACACG
rnacentral:lncRNA from 1 species